AGUGAACGCUGGCGGUAGGCCUAACACAUGCAAGUCGAACGGCAGCACAGUAAGAGCUUGCUCUUACGGGUGGCGAGUGGCGGACGGGUGAGGAAUACAUCGGAAUCUACUUUUUCGUGGGGGAUAACGUAGGGAAACUUACGCUAAUACCUCAUACGACCUACGGGUGAAAGCAGGGGAUCUUCGGACCUUGCGCGAUUGAAUGAGCCGAUGUCGGAUUAGCUAGUUGGCGUGGUAAAGUCCCACCAAGGCGACGAUCCGUAGCUGGUCUGAGAGGAUGAUCAGCCACACUGGAACUGAGACACGGUCCAGACUCCUACGGGAGGCAGCAGUGGGGAAUAUUGGACAAUGGGCGAAAGCCUGAUCCAGCCAUACCGCGUGGGUGAAGAAGGCCUUCGGGUUGUAAAGCCCUUUUGUUGGGAAAGAAAAGCAGCAGGUUAAUACCCCGAUGUUCUGACGGUACCCAAAGAAUAAGCACCGGCUAACUUCGUG
rnacentral:rRNA from 1 species